rnacentral:rRNA from 1 species
UGCCAGCCGCCGCGGUAAGACGAGCCGUCCAAACGUUAUUCGGUAUCACUGGGCUUAAAGGGUGCGUAGGCGGCUUAUCAGGUCUGAUGUGAAAUCUCCCGGCUCAACCGGGGAACUGCGUUGGAAACCGAUAAGCUUGAGUGUGCUAGGGGUGUGUGGAACUUCCUGUGGAGCGGUGAAAUGUGUUGAUAUGGGAAGGAACGCCGGUGGCGAAAGCGACACACUGGGGCACAACUGACGCUGAGGCACGAAAGCUAGGGUAGCGAACGGGAUUAGAUA